AACAACAUUAAAAAUUAAUAUAAUAAAAAGUUUUAGCAAGUGAACAACACCAAACCUAAUCAAUUUGUUUUCAGGUCAAGCAUACAGAACAACAUGGCCCUAGCGGCUCCAGCAGUGACAAAAACCCUAGAAACUUUGGGGGAUUUUCGUGGACAUUAAUCGAACACAUGAAAUACAAAAAUGCCAUAAAACAAUCCAUUGCAUCAUCACCUUGCAAUUCUCAGUGACUCAUCUUCAUCACGAUCCAUAUUGGCUUAAAUGGCAAUUUGGCAACCACAUUCCCUUGGCAAAGUGAAUUCAAAAUCCAAAAAUGAUGAAGAGAACCAAUGCAACAACUUUGAACUUAAAGGGGUGAGAUUGUGACUGGACCAUUUCAAGGAGGUCUCGACACGGUCAAUUUUCUUGGUCUUAGAUUUCUGAGUGGUGACUUUCAUGGUUUCGGUUUUUAGUGUCAAGCUUCUUAGAAGCUUUAUCAAUGGAGGAUUUGAGGGAUUUGUAGGAGUUGGUGCGG
rnacentral:misc_RNA from 1 species